rnacentral:rRNA from 1 species
GAUGAACGCUAGCGGCAGGCCUAACACAUGCAAGUCGAGGGGCAGCAUAAAACAAGCUUGCUUGUUUGGUGGCGACCGGCGCACGGGUGCGUAACGCGUAUGCAACCUACCCUGUACUGAGGGAUAGCCCGGAGAAAUUCGGAUUAACACCUCAUAGGAUCUUAGAUCGGCAUCGAUUAGAGAUUAAAGGUUACGGUACAGGAUGGGCAUGCGUCCCAUUAGCUAGAUGGUAGGGUAACGGCUUACCAUGGCAACGAUGGGUAGGGGCCUGAGAGGGUGGUCCCCCCACACUGGUACUGAGACACGGACCAGACUCCUACGGGAGCAGCAGUGAGGAAUAUUGGUCAAUGGGCGCAAGCCUGACCAGCCAUGCCGCGUGCAGGAAGACGGUUCCUAUGGAUUGU